rnacentral:rRNA from 1 species
CCCUUAGAUGUUCUGGGCCGCACGCGUGCUACACUGAUGCAUUCAACGAGUCUAAAACCUGGUCUGAUAGGGCUGGGUAAUCUUUUGAACUUUCGUCGUGAUGGGGCUAGACCCUUGCAAUUAUUGGUCUCCAACGAGGAAUUCCUAGUAAACGCAAGUCAUCAGCUUGCAUUGAUUACGUCCCUGCCCUUUGUACACACCGCCCGUCGCACCUACCGAUUGAAUGGUCCGGUGAAAUCUUCGGAUUGAGACUUUGAUUUCUUCACGGAAAACGCUGUUUUAAAAAGUUGAUUAAACCUUACCAUUUAGAGGAAGGUGAAGUCGUAACA